UAAUUCGAAGCAACGCGCAGAACCUUACCAGCCCUUGACAUUUGGUGCACUUUCCAGAGAUGGAAGUUUCCCUUCGGGGACGCCAGGACAGGUGCUGCAUGGCUGUCGUCAGCUCGUGUCGUGAGAUGUUGGGUUAAGUCCCGCAACGAGCGCAACCCUCGCCCUUAGUUGCCAGCAUUCAGUUGGGCACUCUAGGGGGACUGCCGGUGAUAAGCCGAGAGGAAGGUGGGGAUGACGUCAAGUCCUCAUGGCCCUUACGGGCUGGGCUACACACGUGCUACAAUGGCGGNGACAGUGGGC
rnacentral:rRNA from 1 species